rnacentral:rRNA from 1 species
GUCCACGCCGUAAACGGUGGGUACUAGGUGUGGGUUUCCUUCCUUGGGAUCCGUGCCGUAGCUAACGCAUUAAGUACCCCGCCUGGGGAGUACGGCCGCAAGGCUAAAACUCAAAGAAAUUGACGGGGCCCGCACAAGCGGCGGAGCAUGUGGAUUAAUUCGAUGCAACGCGAAGAACCUUACCUGGGUUUGACAUGCACAGGACGUGCCUAGAGAUAGGUAUUCCCUUGUGGCCUGUGUGCAGGUGGUGCAUGGCUGUCGU